UAUAAAACAAAUAAUGAAUGUUUUUAUUCGUGCAAUGGUAAGAAUAUUUUCAUUCGGUGAAAGAUGGAAUGUUCCAUUCAACUCGGCUGUCGCCUCGUUGAAUGGAACAUUCCAUCUUUCACCGAAUGAAAAUAUUCUUACCAUUGCACGAAUUAAAACAUUCAUUAUUUGUAUAAUA